rnacentral:rRNA from 1 species
GUCUAUAAUGCAAGUCGAGCGGACCGACGGGAGCUUGCUCCCUUAGGUCAGCGGCGGACGGGUGAGUAACACGUGGGUAACCUGCCUGUAAGACUGGGAUAACUCCGGGAAACCGGGGCUAAUACCGGAUGCUUGAUUGAACCGCAUGGUUCAAUCAUAAAAGGUGGCUUUUAGCUACCACUUACAGAUGGACCCGCGGCGCAUUAGCUAGUUGGUGAGGUAACGGCUCACCAAGGCGACGAUGCGUAGCCGACCUGAGAGGGUGAUCGGCCACACUGGGACUGAGACACGGCCCAGACUCCUACGGGAGGCAGCAGUAGGGAAUCUUCCGCAAUGGACGAAAGUCUGACGGAGCAACGCCGCGUGAGUGAUGAAGGUUUUCGGAUCGUAAAACUCUGUUGUUAGGGAAGAACAAGUACCGUUCGAAUAGGGCGGUACCUUGACGGUACCUAACCAGAAAGCCACGGCUAACUACGUGCCAGCAGCCGCGGUAAUACGUAGGUGGCAAGCGUUGUCCGGAAUUAUUGGGCGUAAAGCGCGCGCAGGCGGUUUCUUAAGUCUGAUGUGAAAGCCCCCGGCUCAACCGGGGAGGGUCAUUGGAAACUGGGGAACUUGAGUGCAGAAGAGGAGAGUGGAAUUCCACGUGUAGCGGUGAAAUGCGUAGAGAUGUGGAGGAACACCAGUGGCGAAGGCGACUCUCUGGUCUGUAACUGACGCUGAGGCGCGAAAGCGUGGGGAGCGAACAGGAUUAGAUACCCUGGUAGUCCACGCCGUAAACGAUGAGUGCUAAGUGUUAGAGGGUUUCCGCCCUUUAGUGCUGCAGCAAACGCAUUAAGCACUCCGCCUGGGGAGUACGGUCGCAAGACUGAAACUCAAAGGAAUUGACGGGGGCCCGCACAAGCGGUGGAGCAUGUGUUUAAUUCGAAGCACGCGAAGAACCUUACCAGUCUUGACAUCCUCUGACAACCCUAGAGAUAGGGC